GACGAACGCUGGCGGCGUGCCUAACACAUGCAAGUCGAGCGAAGUGAGUACUACGGUACGAACUUAGCGGCGGACGGGUGAGUAACGCGUGGACAAUCUACCCUGUAGACUGGGAUAACACCUCGAAAGGGGUGCUAAUACCGGAUAAUGUCGAGAAGCGGCAUCGCUUUUCGAAGAAAGGAGAGAAUCCGCUAUAGGAGGAGUCCGCGUCCCAUUAGCUAGUUGGUCAGGGUAACGGCCCACCAAGGCGACGAUGGGUAGCCGGCCUGAGAGGGUGAACGGCCACACUGGAACUGAGACACGGUCCAGACUCCUACGGGAGGCAGCAGUGGGGAAUAUUGUGCAAUGGGGGAAACCCUGACACAGCAACGCCGCGUGAGCGAAGAAGGCCUUCGGGUUGUAAAGCUCAAUAGUAUGGGAAGAUAAUGACGGUACCAUGCGAAAGCCCCGGCUAACUACGUGCCAGCCGCCGCCGUAAAAC
rnacentral:rRNA from 1 species